GUGAUCAAAUCUACACUUGAACAGUCUCCACACUACAUCCUAAAUAGGCCAAGAGGGGUUAAAUGUUCUACGUACCUCAGCUUCUCGGACCCCAAAUCAGAGAUAGUAAUGCCUAACCACAAAUUACUUGUGUGACAUUCCUAACUCCAAAAGGGUCUCCACUAAGUAUGGAUCUCAAGCUAACUUGGUAAGGUCUACUCCACACAAGUCGAACAUGACUAUACCAUCCUCCUGUAUUAAUUUCACUCAAGUUCCAGUUAGAACUUAUCUCACCACUCAGAAAUCAC
rnacentral:lncRNA from 1 species